CCUAAUUUGGCUAUCAACAAUAUUACAUGGUUUCUACCCCAAUCUCACCUGUCUUGCCUAGUCGCCUCUGAGUGAAGAACAACCCUCCCAAGUUGGCUCUUUCUCCUUCUCUUUGCAAAAUCUCACCUGAAGCAGAAUCAACAUCACCAAUAAACCUUGGAGAUUGAAGAUUGAAGUGUCAACAUCAACUAUUGGAGCUCCAUUUCUUCUCAAGAACACUUCUAGUUGAAAAACUAUCCUCAAGAACCCUUUUUUUUCAUAUAAACAUGAUCAAUACUUGUUUGUUGAUCAUGCACUAAUUAUAUAUGAUCAAGAUCCGAGUAUGAGGGCCAAUCACACUCCCACAUUGAGUCAACUUUUGUGGAUAGCAUCUUCAGGAUUUCGGCCCCACAGCCAUACAUAUUGGUGCAGGGUCUGGUGCUACAGGCACCAUCCAAUAGCGGUGGAUCUCGAUUGAGUUCAGUACAUUUUGCAGGUACAUACCCAAGGUUAGGGUACCUCUAGUAUGUUGAUGGUGAUGUUUAUGGGACUGCUAUGGAAGAAUUUGUGUAUUACUUCCAACAUACUAUAAUAUGGCCAGCCUUUGUGAUUCUAUCAGAUAAAAACAUGGUUCAACAUCAGCAACAACAAUAUGGUGGCUAUGAUGAUCUGGCCUGGCACUCAUUUCAGUACUAGGAGUCUAGGUCUCCAGGAUGACUGAUAUAUGAAUGUGUUAUUGUGUUAUGUACUUAUGUAGUUGUAUCAUAUGUGACUAUGUGUAUCACUUGUGACUCAUUUGAGUCAACACUCAUUAGUCAUCCAUGUUAAACAAUUAACAAACUAUUAUUUAUGUCUUUUAAUUCCUUAA